UAAUACUGCGUAAUACCUAAAUACCGCAUGGUAUUAAGGUCAAAUCUACGGAGGUUACAGAUGGGCAUGCGUGCCAUUAGCUAGAUGGUAAGUGUAACGGCUUACCAUGGCAAUGAUGGCUAGGGUGUUCUGCAAGGAAGGCCCCCCACACUGGUACUGAGACACGGACCAGACUCCUACGGGAGGCAGCAGUGAGGAAUAUUGGUCAAUGGAGGCAACUCUGAACCAGCCAAGCCGCGUGAAGGAAGACUGUCCUAUGGAUUGUAAACUUCUUUUGUGGCAGAAUAAACCACCGUACUUGUACGGUAUUGCAUGUAUGCCAUGAAUAAGCAUCGGCUAACUCCGUGCCAGCAGCCGCGGUAAAUACGGAGGAUGCAGGCGUUAUCCGGAUUCAUUAGGUUCAAAGGGUGUUCAGGCUGCCUGGUAAGUCAGGGGUGAAAGUCGGUCGCUCAACGAUCGAAUUGCCUUCGAAACUGUCAGGCUCGAGUAUGGAUGCCGUAGGCGGAAUGUGUAGUGUAACGGUGAAAUGCAUAGAUAUUACACUAGUACUCCGAUUGCCGAAGGCAGCUUUCCAAACCGGCACUGACGCUGAAGCACGAAAGCGUGGGGAGCGAACAGGAUUAGAUACCCUGGUAGUCCACGCCGUAAACUUUGCUCACUCGCUGUUGGCGAUAGACAGUCAGCGGCCAAGGGAAACCGAUAAGUGAGCCACCUGGGGAGUACGCCCGCAAGGUUGAAACUCAAAGGAAUUGACGGGGGCCCGCACAAGCGGUGGAUACAUGUGGUUUAAUUCGAUGAUACGCGAGGAACCUUACCUGGGCUUAAAUGUGAAGUGCAUUGAUUGGAAACAAUCAUUUCCUUCGGGACCCUUUACAAGAUGCUGCAUGGUUGUCGUCAGCUCGUGCCGUGAGGUGUCGGGUUAAGUCCCAUAACGAGCGCAACCCCUAUUGUUAGUUACCAGCGCGUAAAGGCGGGGACUCUAGCGAAUCUGCCGGUGUUUCCGCGAGGAAGGUGGGGAUGACGUCUAAUCAGCACGGCCCUUAUGUCCAGGGCUACACACGUGUUACAAUGGACGGUACAGCGGGUAGCUAGGCAGCGAUGUCAUGCUAAUCCCGAAAGCCGGUCCCAGUUCGGAUUGGAGUCUGCAACCCGACUCCAUGAAG
rnacentral:rRNA from 1 species